rnacentral:lncRNA from 1 species
CUUCAAUUAACUCUUCUGUGCUCUGUUUCUGCUUGGAAUGUAUGGAUUCUACUUGGGUAUUACUCCUGGCUCUCUUACGAAGCAACAGCACAAGACUGUGAUGCAGAACGCCCUCUUUACCCACUCUGUGAUGAGAGAAAGACCACAGCAAAUAUCAUCUCCAGUAAAAAAUGAAAGAAGGGCAUCCCAUUAUGAAGGCUGCAAAGUAGAAAACAGUCACCUGGGAGGAGAAACAAAAUAACUAUACUGUCACUGGGAGGUAAGGGCAGUCUGCGCAGACGGUAAUGGGAGAGAUGAAGUCUGAGUCAGAGUACUUGAGGGCCUUGAAAACACAAGCGGAAAGUUCACACCUGGUACACCAUGCAAAAGAAAACAGACCCCGAAAGAAAAGCGAGUCUUAAUACGCACCCCU